rnacentral:lncRNA from 1 species
AUAGUUUUUGACCCACAGUUUCUUGCAUAUUGUAGUGAAAAUGCUAACUCACUGCUUGAAGCUGUGAUUGAGCACCUGGUGGAAGGCAGGGCCAACUCAGGGGAGCUCAGGUGUGUGCAAUGUACUGAAUGACCUGAAGGGCUGGACCAAGAUCCACCCCUGCCCAGACCUCAUUCAAGGGUUGGCAGAAGAGGCAAGGAUGUUUCUCUAGAGAUCCUUGUGUACCUGAGACUGAAGGUAAGCAGCUUCAUUCACUUCUUUUUAUGUUAAUGGCUGUUGUGUUUGAGUGUCUCCCCACUCACUGUAGCCUGGGAUUUUGCUGCUUUGCUGUCACUGUUGCAUUUUCUCUCGUGUUACGCACGCGUUCAGCUGAACUCUGAGGGCGAAAAUGAAGGGAAGCCUUGCCAGCCUAGAGGAAACCAGUUUCUUAUCAAGCAUUUCAAAACAUCUCCUACUUACUUUUGGAUUUAAUAACCAUUGCGUUUUUGGAAAAAGCUCAUCAACAAAUUCAGUCAUUUUGAAUCUCCUGGGAGCAGCAAGAUCUUCUGAAGAAGCAAUAUUUGGAUGGGAAACUUAUGUCCUCCAAGCUGGCGAGUUGCAACACUGA